CCAAACCUUCAAGGGAGAAGGUCUGUCUUGUGAUGUCAUGUCUUGGGGGAGCUGAGGAGAGCUGCUGCAGGCCCUGACUGGAAGGGCCUAGAGGGUGUGAGGGGAAUUAACCCAGGGAGACUAGAUGAGCAAGAGAUGAGAAGGAGGGCAGGGAGGCUGCUACUAGAGGGUCCCUGGUCCAGGGCCCAGAGUAGCAGGUGGGCCUGGGUUUCCCCUCACAUUGCGUGCACCUGGCUGACUGCAAUGUGCCCCACACGUGAGAGGCUAGACUUCAGGUUGUGGUUGGCCAAUGCAGCAGGAGCGAGCAGAAAGACUGUUGUUAAAAGCCCCGCCCCUGGAAGGGGGUGAGGAUGGACUAAGGGGCACUGUCAGAGGGCAGUGACCAGAAGCGGAAAUUGCCGAGCAGGGAGCAACGUGGGUCUGGAUACCAGUGGGGGAGCAGAUGACGGAUGGGAUACCGCUGGCAGAGGGCACCCUGCAGAGGACAGAGCUAAUUCCCAGAUGUGCCAGCGGGAGGUGCUAUGGUGAAUGAGUGUUUUUACAGUGGAUAAAGGAACUGGAAUAGUUCAGUCAACCAAUUAGUCUGAUACUACGUCUCUGCCAGUGGAACACAAUGGAUGCUUCAGAGGAAAACAUAAAAGCCAACUGUAUCAUAAGGAGGAAAAGACUUACCCAUCUCUGUUUAUGAUCAUCUUGCCCAUUGAAGAGGAAUGAGGGCUGACAACCUUUGUACUUUUAUUCUAGGUAGUGUAACUGCAGCUGCUAUUUUUAUUCACAUAAUAUGUCUAUAUAACAGAGGAUUUUUCUC